GGAAGGUGGGGAUGACGUCAAAUCAUCAUGCCCCUUAUGAUUUGGGCUACACACGUGCUACAAUGGACAAUACAAAGGGCAGCGAAACCGUGAGGUCAAGCAAAUCCCAUAAAGUUGUUCUCAGUUCGGAUUGUAGUCUGCAACUCGACUACAUGAAGCUGGAAUCGCUAGUAAUCGUAGAUCAUCAUGCUACGGUGAAUACGUUCCCGGGUCUUGUACACACCGCCCGUCACACCACGAGAGUUUGUAACACCCGAAGCCGGUGGAGUAACCUUUUAGGAGCUAGCCGUCGAAGGUGGGACAAAUGAUUGGGGUGAAGUCGUAACAAGGUAGCCGUAUCGGAAGGUGCGGCUGGAUCACCUCCUUUCUAAGGA
rnacentral:rRNA from 1 species